rnacentral:rRNA from 1 species
GUGGGGAAUCUUGCGCAAUGGGCGAAAGCCUGACGCAGCCAUGCCGCGUGAAUGAUGAAGGUCUUAGGAUUGUAAAAUUCUUUCACCGGGGACGAUAAUGACGGUACCCGGAGAAGAAGCCCCGGCUAACUUCGUGCCAGCAGCCGCGGUAAUACGAAGGGGGCUAGCGUUGCUCGGAAUUACUGGGCGUAAAGGGCGCGUAGGCGGACAGUUUAGUCAGAGGUGAAAGCCCAGGGCUCAACCUUGGAAUUGCCUUUGAUACUGGCUGUCUUGAGUACGGGAGAGGUGAGUGGAACUCCGAGUGUAGAGGUGAAAUGCGUAGAGAUCGGGAGGAACACCAGUGGCGAAGGCGGCUUACUGGACUGUAACUGACGCUGAGGCGCGAAAGUGUGGGGAGCAAACAGGAUUAGAAACCCCGGUAGUCC